UUACAGAUUAGGAAAUCAAGAUAUCAUAUGUGAUGCUUGAAAACAGCAUGUUCCUUGGGAAUAUGAGCAACCUGUUGUAUGUAUGAGUUGUCCUAAGGGAUAUUAGAGAUGAUU
rnacentral:snoRNA from 1 species